UAAUAAAAGUGUUUUAUGGCACCUUUCAAACAAAUCCAUAUCCACCUUGUGUGCAAUGUUUUUUUUUUUUUAAAUAAACACUUUAUUUUUUAAUUGCCAAUUUAUCUGAAGAUCAGUAUUAUUAUGAAUUAACUUAAUUCAAAAUA
rnacentral:misc_RNA from 1 species